GCUGGAGCUGUGCUGUUCAUAGCCAUCAUUCAUGGGAACCCACAGUUUAGACACCCUAAGUUAUCCAGGAAUUUCGCCAACCUAGAGGGUAAGAAAUCCAAUUUUCCAAGCAGAAGAGUGACAUGUCACCCAAACCUGUUCCCUCCUUUGAAAAGAUAACAGCCAUGCUUCCACAUUGGAGUAAUCAGCAAACUCCAGGCUCACAGGAUCCCAGGACUUAUCUGCCACCACUUGAAGAGCACAGCUUUCUGACAACAACUGAAAGGCCCUGGGUAGUUUCUUGCAGCUCAGGAUGACUAGG